UGCCCCUUGGCUUAGAUGGUCAAAGCGUCUGACUGUUAUUUCAAUGGCAAUCAGAAGGUCGUGAGUUCGAGCCUCACAGGGGCAG